rnacentral:misc_RNA from 1 species
AUGGCCUGCAUCAGCUCCUG